rnacentral:rRNA from 1 species
UUCCAGACUCCUACGGGAGGCAGCAGUGAGGAAUAUUGGUCAAUGGCCGAGAGGCUGAACCAGCCAAGUCGCGUGAGGGAAGACGGCCCUACGGGUUGUAAACCUCUUUAGGCGGGGAGCAAUGCCGGGCACGCGUGCCCGGAGGGAGAGUACCCGCAGAAUAAGCAUCGGCUAACUCCGUGCCAGCAGCCGCGGUAAUACGGAGGAUGCGAGCGUUAUCCGGAUUUAUUGGGUUUAAAGGGUGCGUAGGCGGAUUUUUAAGUCAGCGGUAAAAUGUCCGGGCUCAACCCGGGCCGGCCGUUGAAACUGGGGAUCUUGAGUGGGCGAGAAGUAUGCGGAAUGCGUGGUGUAGCGGUGAAAUGCAUAGAUAUCACGCAGAACUCCGAUUGCGAAGGCAGCAUACCGGCGCCCGACUGACGCUGAGGCACGAAAGCGUGGGGAUCGAACAGGAUUAGAUACCCGUGUAGC